UGGGAGGAGGAGAUCUGUUUCUACGAGGGAGCGAUCUGCGAGGUUUAGGCCGUCUGUGAAGCGAUCUACGAGGCUGAACUCCAUCGAUUAGAUUGUCACUUCUCGAGGUAGGUCUCCUCCACGUUGUGAUUCUACGAUUCGACUCGAAACUUUUUUUUUUUUUGUGCUUUAUAGCUGUGAUCUUUGCUUCAUUGUUUGGAGAAACUGCGCUCUUGUUUCGGACGAAACGUCGAACACUUCCCGCGCAUAAGCUUCUUCUCGUUGUUGCUGUCAAGAAACAGAUCGAAACCCAUAUAGGAGCGAUCAACAUUACGUUGCAAGCUUAACCUUAGUGUAGAUGAUACGAUUGACAUGCUAGAAUAGCAAGGUAACUCGGUUAGAUCAAACAGUUUCAUGUCGACAUGCGGCCAUGAGUACCUCCAAACUUGGCAACGCAUGUGAUUCUUUUGUCCAUUCCUAUCAAUUUCCAUCGUGCACAUGCAGGUUGGAACAUCUUGGCGGCAACGCGAAACUUGCUGUCUCGAUGUCAGCAGACAUCCCCAAGUGUUCGCCAUGUCCGUGAAAAGCGCCGUGGAAGGUGCCAAGGAAACAUAUCAACCAACCAAAGGGCAUGGCCUUACCCUUCCUCUCUUUUCCGACGCAUAAGGACCUCAUAUAGGAGGACCAGGCUCGCUUGUCUUAUUUCAACUCUUUGGUUCUCCCACUGGUUUCCUUGGGGUGGAAGCAUACAGUUUGACCUUAUGGAGUAUAGAUGGUGAAGGCUUUUGUGUCGUCUACAGUCAGAUCUGCUUGCCUGUUGCUGUCUAAUAGUGUAUUCAUUCUGUAUGCUGGUUAGAUAGUCCAUUUUGUCAGGCCAUAGAUUUCAGUCCCCAUUCAAACUUCUCGAGUAUCCAAGACAUGAUCUGAUCAAUACUCUGUCGAUUAUUUGUGGAUGAUUUGAUGUUUUCUUUUGUGGUAAUGAGAUCAAAAGACACACUUUUGUGGCACAUGAAAGCUGAGGAGGCAAAGCUUUUGAUUCAUGUAGUACUAGAUUUCUUCUCAGGACAUUUCUCCAACUCAAACAUCAUCGAACGGACAACUCUUACUUGUCUUUAGGAGCUCCUAGGCAACUUUUGGUGGCUUAGCAAGAGAAAGACUGAAAAAUCCGUAGGAACUGUGAUAUCUGUAAGGACUAAAUUAAGUUCCAGUGCAAACUGUACAACAAUGCCAAGCUAACAUCAGACAAUAGAACCUGCCAAUUUUUGGUGAACAUGAAGAAAUCAUUAAGCUUUCUCUCAGAAGAUAAAUGAAAAGAGUGGGGGAACAAAAUAAAAAUCAGAGGAGAAUAUGGAAAGAAGUACAUUCGUCAUCCAUGAUUCACAGGCUUUAUAAGAGGCUGUUGUGCAGUCUUUCCCCAUUCUUCUGGUGGGCUCUUCACUUCCAUCAGGAAUGCUACCACCUCUUUCAUGGUUGGACGCUCCAAUGGGGAUGAGUUCACGCAGAACAUGGCUAUUCCCAGUGUCUGUAGCAUCUCCUGGAUCAUCUGGUUGGGCAUUCCUUGUAGCUUUGGGUCCAAAAUAUUGAUUGCGGGUUCAAAGCUUGCCAUUUUCUUCUUCACCCAUUCCACUAUGUGAAGACCGUCACCAACCAUUGGCUCGAUGGCGCUUCGCCCGCUUAGAAUCUCUAGGAGGACCACACCGAAGCUGUAUACAUCGCUCUUCUCUGUUAUAUUUGUUGUGUAGCCAUACUCUGUCACAAUGAUCGGCAAAUCAUCAAUAUAUCUACCUCUAGGACUUGAUUUAAGACAGGAAGUAUGAGUAGUAGCAAGUAUAGAUAGUGUUCAGAAGGAUUUGUCAACAGAAGCCUCGUUAAAGUUAUGUCAGAGCUAUGGGUAAAUAAUAACUUUUUUGAGUAUUAAGGAUAAUGAAACUCUCUUAGUCUUGAAACUUGUAAGAUCAACACGAGAGAAUUUGAACUCAAUAGCAGUAAGAACAACAUGACAAUUGACUUAAGAUGUUCUCAUUUAUGCAAAGAACGAAAACUCACCAUAAACAACAUUAAUGGGAACAUCUUAAUUGGAAAACAUACUGAAGCAAAAUUUCAAAGAACUGGCAUCUUAUCGAUGAGAGCUUUACCUGGAGCUAUGUAUCCAUAUGAACCUGCUAUCCUGGACAUGGCAUGGUGGAAGUUCGGUGAACUCAUCAGCUUUGCCAAACCAAAAUCAGCCAAAUAUGCUUCAAAUUUUGAAUCCAACAGUAUAUUGUUACACUUGACAUCCCUGUGAAGGAUGGCUGGGAUGCAGUCAUGAUGGAGAUAUGCUAAACCUUGUGCCGAUCCAAGUGCAAUUCUAUACCUUGUCUCCCAAUCCAAAUUCCUAUUCUCUUGCAAAAGCUGUUGCAGAUUUCCAUUCGAGAUAUAAUUGUAGAGAAGGAGCUUGACACACUUAUUGGAACAAUAACCCAGUAGCUUCACAAUGUUGCGAUGCCUGAUAUGCCCAAGAAUCUGAAUCUCGGACUCAAAUGUGUCGAUCAGUUCCUCUUCCUUCUUUGUUUUCCAAAGCUUCUUCACGGCAAUGAGCUCCCCAUUGGGCAUCUCAGCCUUGUAGACGAUCCCAGAGCAACCUUUUCCAAUUACAUUCUCAUCCUUCAGGCACUGAAGAAUGUUAUCUACUGUAAAGUUUAGCUUCUGGAAUGGGACGAAGGUCCAUGGGUAUGAAAACUCAUCGGAUAUGGAGGAUGAUAUGGUCAG
rnacentral:lncRNA from 1 species